UACGUAGGGGGCUAGCGUUGUCCGGAUUUAUUGGGCGUAAAGAGCGUGUAGGCGGCCAGGUAGGUCUGCUGUGAAAACUCGAGGCUUAACCUCGAGAUGUCGGCGGAAACCAUCUGGCUAGAGUCCGGGAGAGGAGAGUGGAAUUCCUGGUGUAGCGGUGAAAUGCGCAGAUAUCAGGAAGAACACCCGUGGCGAAAGCGGCUCUCUGGAACGGUACUGACGCUGAGACGCGAAAGCGUGGGGAGCGAACAGG
rnacentral:rRNA from 1 species